rnacentral:snRNA from 1 species
AUGCUCACUUUGGCGGCACAUAUAUUAACAUUGGAAUGAUGUGGAAAAGAUUAGCAUAGCCCUCGUGCAAAGAUGAUAAGCAAAUUUGUGAAGUGUCCCAUACUUUU